CCAGGAGACUCUGUGACUCUGCAGUGUACAGUAAACACUGAGACCUGUGCAGGAGAACACAGUGUGCACUGGUUCAGACCGGGCUCAGGAGAGUCCCCUCCAGGAAUCAUUCGCACCCAUGGACACAGGAGUGAUGAGUGCCAGAGGAGCUCUGGGACUGUGUCUCCCACACAGAGCUGUGUCUACAACUUCCCCAAGAGGAUCCUCAGCCUCUCUGAUGCUGGGACUUACUACUGUGCUGUGGCCACCUGUGGGGAGAUCCUGUUUGGGAACGAGACCAAGCUGGAUGUUGAGAGUAAGCCUUAAAUAUUAAUUAAUUAAUUAAUUCAUUAUCAUAAUCCGCUUAACCUGAACAGGGUUGCGGGGGGGCUGGAGCCUAUCCCAGCAUGUGGGAGGAAACCUGAGUACCCGGAGCAAACCCACGCAAACACGGAGAGAACAUGCAAACUCCACACAGAGGCCCCGACCAACCGGGAUUCGAACCCAGGACAUCCUUGCUGUGAGGCGGCAGUGCUACCCACAGCACCAUCCGUGCCGCGCAGCUUUAAAUAUACAGUAUUUAAAUCCAGUAUACAGUUUUUACAGUAAUCCCACUUCAAAAAGUGCAUAUGCAUUGGUUAAUGCUAUUUCACCCAGGAGGUGUGACCAUCCUUUCCUGGCUGUCCAUCCUGAGGACCGGGGUUCUUUUUGGCGCUGUGAUGAUAUGUGUCAUCAUCUACCGUUUCAGAAGGCCAAGCUAAGAUCAGAACCAUCAAGAUGAAGCCAUGAAUUACGCUGCUUUGACUUUCACCACCAAGAAACCCAAAGUGAGGAGGAAGAAGAGGGAGGAAGAGAGAGAAACGGUUUAUUCAGGUGUGACAUUUAAAGACCACGAGUGAAGCUUUCCAUCAAAAUUAAUCUUCGUCACAAGAAUGAUCACAAUUUAUCAAACAUGUCCUCCUUCGCAUUGGUGCACAUGACAGUAUAUGUGAACUGUAAAUUUGCCUUAAAAUUGUUUCAAAGAAACAAAUUAAAAAUUGUAGACUGAUCUGCUUGCAUUUUAAGCAUUGUGUUGUCUUAAGAUUCUGCAUACUCUCCUUGUCCUAAGGGUCAAAAAUGGUCCACUUUCACUCAACCCCUCAAUCCCAAAUGUAUUUUGCAUGAAGAAACAAUCUGUCACUCAUCACAAACUUUGUCAUCAAAUUUAAAGUUGAAAAAAGAACAGUUAGGGAGUUUUCUCUGCUAUUAUACAUACGGGUGGGUCAUUUUUCACCCUUAAGACAACACAAGGUUUAAAUGUCGUUCAAUGUUGCUAAAUCUGACACAGUUUAGGGCGGCAGUGUAUUGCAGUGGUUAGGGUGGUAGGUGAGGUGACUCUCAUUCAGGUCAUGUACUGCGUUUGUACCUUUGAGAAGGCUGUUAACUUGAGUGACUUCAGCGUAUAUUAAAUAUGAAACUGCACACUUGUCGAAUUGUGUAAGUCACCCUGGGUAAAAGAGCCAACUAAAUGCCAGAAAUGUGAUAUCAAACAGAAGUGAAAUAUUAGGACAACAAAACAAGAUCAGACUGCUAAUGUGUCAUCAGUGAUUCACUGAUUAGAAAGGAAUGUCGUUUUUGAGGUUUAGAAAGAGUCGAUGAUAAAAAUAUAUUCUGUUCUAGAGCCAUUUAUUUUAGGGUUAAUAGGCCUAGUUUCUGCUGGGGACAGUCGUGUCAUUUCCCAACUCUUUAUGAAAGGUCAAAUUCUGCCCUGACCUCUUUUCAUAUAAUAUCAUAGACAUGAAAUACAGUGGUGUGCAAACAUUUGGGCAACCAGGUCAAAGAUUGAGGAUCUGUUCAACUAACUAACUUUACCGAGUGUAGUAGCCCAACCCAUGUCCCCCCUUUCAUGCCAAUGCCCAGCCAUGUACUACUUGAGUGUUUUUAUUCCUGCUGGGAAGGAACUUCAAAGCAUCUUUAUGAAAAUGCCUCUUUAAAAUGCUCUAUACAAAUAAAAUGUGAUAUAUUUCCAUGAA